rnacentral:rRNA from 1 species
GAUGAACGCUGGCGGCGUGCCUAAUACAUGCAAGUCGAGCGAACAGACGAGGAGCUUGCUCCUCUGACGUUAGCGGCGGACGGGUGAGUAGCACGUGGAUAACCUACCUAUAAGACUGGGAUAACUUCGGGAAACCGGAGCUAAUACCGGAUAAUAUAUUGAACCGCAUGGUUCAAUAGUGAAAGACGGUUUUGCUGUCACUUAUAGAUGGAUCCGCGCCGCAUUAGCCAGUUGGUAAGGUAACGGCUUACCAAGGCAACGAUGCGUAGCCGACCUGAGAGGGUGAUCGGCCACACUGGAACUGAGACACGGUCCAGACUCCUACGGGAGGCAGCAGUAGGGAAUCUUCCGCAAUGGGCGAAAGCCUGACGGAGCAACGCCGCGUGAGUGAUGAAGGUCUUCGGAUCGUAAAACUCUGUUAUUAGGGAAGAACAAAUGUGUAAGUAACUAUGCACGUCUUGACGGUACCUAAUCAGAAAGCCACGGCUAACUACGUG